AGAGCGAACGCUGGCGGCAGGCUUAACACAUGCAAGUCGAACGUCCUGUCUCGCAAGAGGCAGGGAGUGGCGGACGGGUGAGUACCACGUGGGUCAUCUACCGUGAGGUGAGGAAUACCGGCGAGAAAUCGCCGACAAGACCGCAUAGGCUCGAUGCAAGUCGAGCAAAGCUCUUUCGAGAGAGGGGAGCGCCACACGAGGAGCCUGCGCCCGAUUAGCUAGCUGGUGGAGUAACGGUUCACCAGGGCGACGAUCGGUAGCUGGUCUGAGAGGACGAUCAGCCACACUGGGAUUGAGAACGGGCCCAGACUCCUACGGGGGGCAGCAGUGAGGAAUUUUCGUCAAUGGGGGGCAACCCUGAACGAGCAACGCCGCGUGCAGGAAGAAGGCUUUCGGAUCGUAAACUGCUUUUCUCGGGAAGAGAACGGACGGUACCCGAGGAAUCAGCCCCGGCUAACUACCGUGCCAGCAGCCGCGGU
rnacentral:rRNA from 1 species